rnacentral:rRNA from 1 species
UGGGGAAUAUUGGACAAUGGGCGCAAGCCUGAUCCAGCCAUGCCGCGUGUGUGAAGAAGGCCUUUUGGUUGUAAAGCACUUUAAGCGAGGAGGAGGCUACUUGGAUUAAUACUCUAGGAUAGUGGACGUUACUCGCAGAAUAAGCACCGGCUAACUCUGUGCCAGCAGCCGCGGUAAUACAGAGGGUGCGAGCGUUAAUCGGAUUUACUGGGCGUAAAGCGUGCGUAGGCGGCUUCUUAAGUCAGAUGUGAAAUCCCUGAGCUUAACUUAGGAAUUGCAUUCGAUACUGGGAAGCUAGAGUAUGGGAGAGGAUGGUAGAAUUCCAGGUGUAGCGGUGAAAUGCGUAGAGAUCUGGAGGAAUACCGAUGGCGAAGGCAGCCAUCUGGCCUAAUACUGACGCUGAGGUACGAAAGCAUGGGGAGCAAACAGG